AUUGAACGCUGGCGGCAGGCCUAACACAUGCAAGUCGAGCGGAUGAAGUGAGCUUGCUCCUGGAUUCAGCGGCGGACGGGUGAGUAAUGCCUAGGAAUCUGCCUGGUAGUGGGGGAUAACGUCCGGAAACGGGCGCUAAUACCGCAUACGUCCUGAGGGAGAAAGUGGGGGAUCUUCGGACCUCACGCUAUCAGAUGAGCCUAGGUCGGAUUAGCUAGUUGGUGGGGUAAAGGCCUACCAAGGCGACGAUCCGUAACUGGUCUGAGAGGAUGAUCAGUCACACUGGAACUGAGACACGGUCCAGACUCCUACGGGAGGCAGCAGUGGGGAAUAUUGGACAAAGGGCGAAAGCCUGAUCCAGCCAUGCCGCGUGUGUGAAGAAGGUCUUCGGAUUGUAAAGCACUUUAAGUUGGGAGGAAGGGCAGUAAGUUAAUACCUUGCUGUUUUGACGUUACCAACAGAAUAAGCACCGGCUAACUUCGUG
rnacentral:rRNA from 1 species